ensembl:lncRNA
CUGCUGUCUGUUGUGCUCUGCCUGAAGCUGGACCUCAGUGGGAGUCUCCAGGUCUCCUGAACUCAGUAUGGCCCUUGCUUGAUCCACUGACAUCUGUAUGGGACAGUAGUUUUUCUGCUUUAGUCAGCUCUGCAAAAUGGAAGUGGGUUUCAGUUUCUCUCUGCCAUUAGGAACCAGCUUUCUCAAGAAGUAGCCCAAUCCAGUACAAUGGCACAUGAAAAACCAGAUUUGCAAGUUUUGGAGGAGGAUGAAAGUGAAUCAUCAGAUGACUCAUGCAUGGAUGAUGAUGAUGAUGAUGACUUUGAUGUUGGCCAUGUGAGCCAAAGUUCCUGUAACAGUGAAAUGGAGUAAGAAUUGACCAAUGCAGACACAAGGAAUGCAGACUUCAUUGAUUCAGAUGAUGAAGAAAACAGCAAUAUGAGUACAUACUUGAUGAGUUAAAAUGGUACAAAAUGGCCCCACAACUAAAUAGAAAGAUCCAAUGUUGGAACUAGGUCUCAAAAUAUAAUAAGGAUCUUAGCUAG